rnacentral:rRNA from 1 species
AUGAACGCUGGCGGCGGGUGCCUAAUACAUGCAAGUCGAGCGGUAAGGCCACUUCGGUGGGUACACGAGCGGCGGAACGGCUGAGUAACACGUAGGAAACGUACCCCAAAACUGAGGGAUAAGCACCAGAAAUGGUGUCUAAUACCGCAUGUGAUCUCCGGAUUAAAGCUACGGUCGGUUUGGGAACGGGCCUGCGCAUUGAUAGCUUUGUUGGUGAGGUAAUGGCUCACCAAGGCGACGAUCAUUAGCUGGUCUGAGAGGAUGAUCAGGCCAGACUGGGACUGAGGAACGGCCCAGACUCCUACGGGAGGCCAGCAGUAGGGAAUUUUCCACAAUGGAACGAAAGUCUGAUGGAGGCAACGCCCGCGGUGCAGGAUGAAGGCCUUCGGGUUGUAAAACUUGCUUUUAUAUGUGACGAAUAUGACGGUAGCAUAUGAAUAAGGAUCGGCUAACUCCGUGCCAAGCAAGCCGCGGUCAUACGGAGGAUCCAAGCGUUAUCCGGAAUUACUGGGCCGUAAAGAAGUUGCGGUAGGUGGCAUGGUAAGUUGAUAGUGGAAAGCGUCCGGCUCAACCGGGAUAUCCAUUAUCAAAACUGCCAAGCUUAGAGGGCGAGAAGAGGGUAAUUAGAAUUCCUAGUGUAGGAGUGGAAUCCGUAGAUAUUAGGAGGAAUACCGAUGGCGUAGGCAGAUUACUGGCUCGUCCCUUGACACUAAGGGCACGAAAAGCGUGGGUAGCAAACGGGAUUAGAUACCCCGGUAGUCUACGCUGGUAAAACGAUGGGAUGCUAGCUGUUUGAGGUAUCGGACCCCCUCAUGUAAGCGAAGCUAACGCGUUUAAGCAUCCCGCCCUGUGGAGAGUACGGGUUCGCAAGACCUAAAAACAUAAAGGAAUUGACCGGGGACCCCGCACACAAAGCGGUUGGAGCAUGUGGGUUCAAUUCGAACGCAACGCGAAGAACCUUACCCAGCCCCUUGACAUGUCCCGUAUGGGCCGAGAGAUCGGCUUUCUUCAGUUCGGCCUUGGCGGGAACACAGGGUGCUGCAUGGGCUGGUCGUCAGCUCGUGUCGUGAGAUGUUGGGUUAAGUCCCCGCAAACGGAGCGCAACCCUCACCUUUCAGUUGCAACGGGUUAAGCUGGGCACUCUGAAGGAACUGCCGGUUGACAAGCCGGAAGGAAGGCGGGGUGAUGACGUCAAGGUCCCUCAUGGCCUUUUAUGGGCUGGGCUUACACACGUUGCUAACAAAUGGCGGUGACAGGGGGAGGCGACGGAGCGAUCCUGAGCCAAUCUCAAAAAAGCCGUCUCAGUUCGGAUUGUUCUCGCUGCAACUCGAGAGCAUGAAGCUGGAAAUCGCUAGUAAUUCGCGGAAUCCAGCAUGCCCGCGGUGAAAUACGUUCCCGGGGCCUUGUACACAACCGCCCCGUCACAACCAUGGGGAGUUGGUUUUUAUCCUGGAAGACGGGUGUGCCAAACCGUAAGGGGGCAGCCGGGCCAC